GACGAACGCUGGCGGCGUGCUUAACACGUGCAAGUCGAACGGAAAGGCCCCUUUGGGGGUACUCGAGUGGCGCACGGGUGAGUAACACGUGAGUAACCUGCCCUUGACUUCGGGAUAACUUCAGGAAACUGGGGCUAAUACCGGAUAGGAAUCCUUGCUGCAUGGUGGGGGUUGGAAAGCUUCGGCGGUUUUGGAUGGACUCGCGGCUUAUCAGCUUGUUGGUGGGGUAGUGGCUUACCAAGGCUUUGACGGGUAGCCGGCCUGAGAGGGCGACCGGCCACAUUGGGACUGAGAUACGGCCCAGACUCCUACGGGAGGCAGCAGUGGGGAAUAUUGCACAAUGGGCGGAAGCCUGAUGCAGCAACGCCGCGUGCGGGAUGACGGCCUUCGGGUUGUAAACCGCUUUCAGCAGGGGCGAAGCUUGUGGUGACGGUACCUGCAGAAGAAGCACCGGCUAACUACGUG
rnacentral:rRNA from 1 species